rnacentral:rRNA from 1 species
CCGGGGAUGAUUUACAUUUGAGUGAGUGGCGAACUGGUGAGUAACACGUGGGAAACCUGCCCAGAAGCGGGGGAUAACACCUGGAAACAGAUGCUAAUACCGCAUAACAACUUGGACCGCAUGGUCCGAGCUUGAAAGAUGGCUUCGGCUAUCACUUUUGGAUGGUCCCGCGGCGUAUUAGCUAGAUGGUGGGGUAACGGCUCACCAUGGCAAUGAUACGUAGCCGACCUGAGAGGGUAAUCGGCCACAUUGGGACUGAAACACGGCCCAAACUCCUACGGGAGGCACCAGUAGGGAAUCUUCCACAAUGAACAAAAGUCUGAUGGAGCAACGCCGCGUGAGUGAAAAAGGGUUUCGGCUCGUAAAACUCUGUUGUUAAAAAAAAACAUAUCUGAGAGUAACUGUUCAGGUAUUGACGGUAUUUAACCAAAAAGCCACGGCUAACUACGUGCCACCAGCCGCGGUAAUACGUAGGUGGCAAGCGUUGUCCGGAUUUAUUGGGCGUAAAGCGAGCGCAGGCGGUUUUUUAAGUCUGAUGU